rnacentral:lncRNA from 1 species
AUGGGAGUCUCGUCUCUUUUCUUCUCAUUCAAGAACAAGCCAGGACAAGUGAUUCUGGAAAAGGGGAGGGGACUGGCGAGGGGGAGAGGAUACUUACGCGGGUGCAGAGGGCAGUGGGACCGAGCGUGGUUUUGCCGGCAGGGAGAGGAGAACACGCGCGCGCACACACGCGGCGGUGUCUUGCGGUUGAUGAAUGUGAUAAUUGGACCCGGGCCGACCUUUCCUACAGAAGCUGCCCAUCAGACCAAUGAAGCCACGAGACAAAAAGUUCUAUUCAAGAAGAGAACAACAAGAAAGAAAAAGAGGUCAACAAUCCUAGGCACAGCCCUUGGCCCCCAGCAGGGCCUCCCCCCGCCGUGCCUCCAUCCCUACUUGAGGUCCAGUGUUGCUCUCCUCGCCGCUGUUUCCCCUGGGCCUUCUCCUUUUCCCUCACAGGUAAAGGACCCUCACCCCUUCAUCACCUCCAUGCUAAGCUGGUGGUAGCACCUGCGGGGAGCAGGCAGAGGGCAGGAGGGGGUGCAUAACCCGAAGUGGACUCCAAGGAAGUGGAACAACACCCUUCAACAGAUAACUGAUGCUCGUGACACAUGGCUAAGAAUGGCAGUUGGUGACCCUGUUGAGGGAGCA